GCAUAUCAAUAAGCGGAGGAAAAGAAACCAACAGGGAUUACCUUAGUAACGGCGAGUGAAGCGGUAAUAGCUCAAAUUUGAAAGCUGCCAACAGGCCGCGUUGUAAUUUGUAGAAGAUGCUUUGGGUGUCGGCCCAGUCUAAGUUCCUUGGAACAGGACGUCAUAGAGGGUGAGAAUCCCGUAUGUGAUUGGUGCCGUCCCCGUGUAAAGCUCUUUCGACGAGUCGAGUUGUUUGGGAAUGCAGCUCAAAAUGGGUGGUAAAUUUCAUCUAAAGCUAAAUAUUGGCCAGAGACCGAUAGCGCACAAGUAGAGUGAUCGAAAGAUGAAAAGCACUUUGGAAAGAGAGUUAAACAGUACGUGAAAUUGUUGAAAGGGAAGCGCUUGCAAUCAGACUUGCAGGCGGUUGAUCAUCCGAGGUUCUCCCCGGUGCACUCGAUCGUCUUCAGGCCAGCAUCGGUUUCAGUGGUGGGAUAAAGGCUGUGAGAAUGUGGCUCUUCGGAGUGUUAUAGCUCACGGUGCAAUGCCGCCUACUGGGACCGAGGACCGCGCUUCGGCUAGGAUGCUGGCGUAAUGGUUGUAAGCGACCCGUCUUGAAACACGGACCAAGGAGUCUAACAUCUAUGCGAGUGUUUGGGUGUCAAACCCAUACGCGUAAUGAAAGUGAACGGAGGUGAGACCCCAUUAGGGCGCAUCAUCGACCGAUCCUGAUGUCUUCGGAUGGAUUUGAGUAAGAGCAUAGCUGUUGGGACCCGAAAGAUGGUGAACUAUGCGUGAAUAGGGUGAAGCCAGAGGAAACUCUGGUGGAGGCUCGCAGCGGUUCUGACGUGCAAAUCGAUCGUCAAAUUUGCGUAUAGGGGCGAAAGACUAAUCGAACCAUC
rnacentral:rRNA from 1 species